GAGCUGUCUGCUCUAGUGGAGGAUUCACACUGGAGACUGGACGCUGUCAGGUUGGAUCCUGCUGGAGUCCGAUGGUUGAAACCAGGUCCAUGGAGACAUUUCUGUGAACUCACCCUGGAUCCAAACACAGCGAAUGAUUGGCUCAGACUGUCUGAGAACAACAAGAAGGUGGAACGAGUGAAGGAGCUUCAGUCAUAUCCUGAUCAUCAGGACAGAUUUGAGGUCUUUCCUCAGGUGAUGUGUUCAACUGGUCUGACUGGUCGCUGUUACUGGGAGGUCCAGUGGAGUGGAUUGGUUUAUAUAUCAGUGACUUACAGAGGAGUCAGAAGGAAAGGAGACGGUGAUGAUGGUGUGUUUGGAGGAAAUCAUCAGUCCUGGAGUCUGGUCUGUUGUGGAGAUGAAUACAGUGUCUGUCAUGAAAACAAAUGCACAGACCUCCCUCCGUCCUCCUCCUCUCUCUCCCUCCUCUUCUCCUCCUCCUCCUCCUCUGGUACAGUCUCAGUGUAUGUGGACUGUCCUGCUGGAUCUGUGUCCUUCUAUAGAGUCUUCUCUGACAAACUGAUCCACCUCCACACCUUCAAAACCACAUUCACUGAACCACUGUUUGCUGGAUUUGGACUCUAUGGUCCUGGAUCCUCAGUGUGUUUGUGUGAUGUGUAGAUCUGUUGUGUUGUUGUGUUCAUGGACAUGUGGUUGUGUAGAUGUGAACACAAACAUCUGGACUUUCUACUGCUCACAUUUCAUAAACAGCCUUUAGUUUUAAUGUGUGAGAGGUGUUGGUCCAUAAAUGUGAAUGUGAGCCUUACUGCCACCACCUGGUCUGGAGUGGGAACUACAACUGUACGUCCAAACUGACCAAACAACUCAUUUAUGUCAUUAUUCAAUGAUUUGAAUCUAAUUAAAGCCUCAACUUCACCAUU